rnacentral:rRNA from 1 species
AUUGAACGCUGGCGGCAUGCCUUACACAUGCAAGUCGAACGGCAGCACGGGAGCAAUCCUGGUGGCGAGUGGCGAACGGGUGAGUAAUACAUCGGAACGUGCCCAGUAGUGGGGGAUAGCCCGGCGAAAGCCGGAUUAAUACCGCAUGAGACCUGAGGGUGAAAGCGGGGGAUCGCAAGACCUCGCGCUAUUGGAGCGGCCGAUGUCAGAUUAGCUAGUUGGUAGGGUAAAGGCCUACCAAGGCAACGAUCUGUAGUUGGUCUGAGAGGACGACCAGCCACACUGGGACUGAGACACAGCCCAGACUCCUACGGGAGGCAGCAGUGGGGAAUUUUGGACAAUGGGCGCAAGCCUGAUCCAGCAAUGCCGCGUGCAGGAAGAAGGCCUUCGGGUUGUAAACUGCUUUUGUCAGGGAAGAAAUCUUCUGGGCUAAUACCCUGGGAGGAUGACGGUGCCUGAAGAAUAAGCACCGGCUAACUACGUGCCAGCCGCCGCCGUAA